AUUGAACGCUGGCGGCAUGCCUAACACAUGCAAGUCGAACGGGGGCAGCAAUGCCCUAGUGGCGGACGGGUGAGGAAUACGUAGGAACCGGCCCACGAGUGGGGGACAACCUGGGGAAACCCAGGCUAAUACCGCAUACGCUCGCGAGAGGAAAGCGGGGGGACCUUCGGGCCUCGCGCUGGUGGACGGGCCUACGUCCGAUUAGCUAGUUGGUGGGGUAAAAGCCUACCAAGGCGACGAUCGGUAGCUGGUCUGAGAGGAUGAUCAGCCACACUGGGACUGAGACACGGCCCAGACUCCUACGGGAGGCAGCAGUGGGGAAUAUUGGACAAUGGGCGCGAGCCUGAUCCAGCAAUGCCGCGUGGGUGAAGAAGGCCUGCGGGUUGUAAAGCCCUUUAAGCGGGGAGGAAAGCCGGGGUGUGAAUAGCGCCUCGGGGUGACGUUACCCGCAGAAUAAGCACCGGCUAACUCCGUGCCAGCAGCCGCG
rnacentral:rRNA from 1 species